rnacentral:rRNA from 1 species
GACGAACGCUGGCGGCGUGCUUAACACAUGCAAGUCGAACGGAAAGGCCCUGCUUUUGUGGGGUGCUCGAGUGGCGAACGGGUGAGUAACACGUGAGUAACCUGCCCUUGACUUUGGGAUAACUUCAGGAAACUGGGGCUAAUACCGGAUAGGAGCUUCUGCUGCAUGGUGGGGGUUGGAAAGUUUCGGCGGUUGGGGAUGGACUCGCGGCUUAUCAGCUUGUUGGUGGGGUAGUGGCUUACCAAGGCUUUGACGGGUAGCCGGCCUGAGAGGGUGACCGGCGACAUUGGGACUGCGAGACGGCGCAGACUCCUACGGGAGGCAGCAGUGGGGAAUAUUGCACAAUGGGGGGAAGCGUGAUGUAGCAACGCCGCGUGCGGGAUGACGGCCUUCUGGUUGUAAACCUCUUUCGCCUGUGACGAGGCGAGAGUGACGGUAAUGGGUAAAAAAGCACCGGCUAACUACGUG